CCUGAACGCUGGCGGCGUGGCUAAGACAUGCAAGCCGAACGGGUGUAGCAAUACACCAGUGGCGGACGGGUGAGUAAUGUAUCGCUAACGUGCCCUGGAAUCUGAGAUAGCCAAUCGAAAGGUUGGGUAAUACCAGAUGAAAUAUCCUUAUCGCAUGAUGAGGAUCUCAAAGGAGCAAUCCGGUCUGGGAGCGGGCGAUAUCGUAUCAGCUAGUUGGUGAGGUAACGGCUCACCAAGGCGACGACGCGUAGCCGG
rnacentral:rRNA from 1 species